GACGAACGCUGGCGGCGCGCCUAACACAUGCAAGUCGAACGAGCGAGAGAGAGCUUACUUUCUCGAGCGAGUGGCGAACGGGUGAGUAACGCGUGAGGAACCUGCCUCAAAGAGGGGGACAACAGUUGGAAACGACUGCUAAUACCGCAUAAGCCCACGGCUCGGCAUCGAGCAGAGGGAAAAGGAGCAAUCCGCUUUGAGAUGGCCUCGCGUCCGAUUAGCUAGUUGGUGAGGUAACGGCCCACCAAGGCGACGAUCGGUAGCCGGACUGAGAGGUUGAACGGCCACAUUGGGACUGAGACACGGCCCAGACUCCUACGGGAGGCAGCAGUGGGGAAUAUUGCACAAUGGGGGAAACCCUGAUGCAGCGACGCCGCGUGGAGGAAGAAGGUCUUCGGAUUGUAAACUCCUGUUGUUGAGGAAGAUAAUGACGGUACUCAACAAGGAAGUGACGGCUAACUACGUGCCAGCAGCCGCGGUAAAACGUAGGUCACAAGCGUUGUCCGGAAUUACUGGGUGUAAAGGGAGCGCAGGCGGGAAGACAAGUUGGAAGUGAAAUCCAUGGGCUCAACCCAUGAACUGCUUUCAAAACUGUUUUUCUUGAGUAGUGCAGAGGUAGGCGGAAUUCCCGGUGUAGCGGUGGAAUGCGUAGAUAUCGGGAGGAACACCAGUGGCGAAGGCGGCCUACUGGGCACCAACUGACGCUGAGGCUCGAAAGUGUGGGUAGCAAACAGGAUUAGAUACCCUGGUAGUCCACACUGUAAACGAUGAUUACUAGGUGUUGGAGGAUUGACCCCUUCAGUGCCGCAGUUAACGCAAUAAGUAAUCCACCUGGGGAGUACGACCGCAAGGUUGAAACUCAAAGGAAUUGACGGGGGCCCGCACAAGCAGUGGAGUAUGUGGUUUAAUUCGACGCAACGCGAAGAACCUUACCAAGUCUUGACAUCCUGCGACGCACAUAGAAAUAUGUGUUUCCUUCGGGACGCAGAGACAGGUGGUGCAUGGUUGUCGUCAGCUCGUGUCGUGAGAUGUUGGGUUAAGUCCCGCAACGAGCGCAACCCUUAUGGUCAGUUACUACGCAAGAGGACUCUGGCCAGACUGCCGUUGACAAAACGGAGGAAGGUGGGGAUGACGUCAAAUCAUCAUGCCCUUUAUGACUUGGGCUACACACGUACUACAAUGGCGUUAAACAAAGAGAAGCAAGACCGCGAGGUGGAGCAAAACUCAGAAACAACGUCCCAGUUCGGACUGCAGGCUGCAACUCGCCUGCACGAAGUCGGAAUUGCUAGUAAUCGCAGAUCAGCAUGCUGCGGUGAAUACGUUCCCGGGCCU
rnacentral:rRNA from 1 species